UCCACCUGGCCAUGCUGCUGCUCCAGUUUCAACUGUUGUGCCUGCGGCUGGGGAACCCUGACCUGUUCACCGAACGUGCUACCUUGUCCCGGACCUGCUGUUUUCGACUCUCUCUCUCCACCGCACUUGCUGUCUCGACCUCGGAAUGCUUGGCUAUGAAAAGCCAUCUGACAUUUACUCCUGAGUUCACUGGGGUCGGGACCUGUUCCCGAGGGAGCCGUAUAUCCUCCGCCCCGGGCUCGUCAGAGUUGUGAAAGAAGAAAAAGGAUUCUGCUAGUCCGUGAAUUGACAGAAGACCCCAUGGUGGUGGCAGUGGUCGUGUGCUGACUGACCAGUCUGAGUGGGCAGUGGUAGAAAUGGUGAGGGCCGGGUAUGACAUAGGGCUGUCCGAAAUAAAGCUGGCCAUUGAUGAGAAUGAUGACACCUUUGCCAAUGUGGCAUCCAUCAGCCCCCCAACAAUCACCCGCCUUUUGAAGAGGCACCAGGUAUCUAUAAAACAUAUUUACCUUGUGCCUUUUGAGAGAAACAACGACCGGGUGAAACAACUGUGGGCCGAGUAUGAUCAGGUACAGCCCUAUAUACUGUGUUACAGUUUUUCUGAAUGCUUAAACACUAACAGUUAGUCUUGAAGCACUAUCUCUGAAACCAUUAUUAACACUUGUAGCCAAUGCAUUUACCAAGUGUGCUAAACUGAAUGCACAUUCUCUGCUUUACACUCAGUUUGUAACACACUUCAAGCAAAACUGUAAACAUUGGUCUCUACAUUGCUACACUAUUUCGCUAAUUGCCUUUCGACAUUGACACAUGAAAACACUUUUCGAUAAUAAGUUCACUUACAAAUCAAAGCGUGAGAACUAUAAAUAGGCCACAGGUAAACAAUUGGUUUGGACAACAAUGGAGGCCAUUAUUCGGUCAGAGAGUAAGAGGGGUGAGAACUAGAGGAGGACGAGGAAGAAGUGAAGAAGUAAUAGUAAGAAGAGGAAGAGGAGUCAGGAAUACAAUAGCUGAUGAAAUCAGAGCUACUGUGAUUGACCAAGUUGUCAACCAUGGGAUGAGCAUGAGGGAGGCUGGGCAACGGGUUCAACCAAAUCUGAGCUGCUAUACUGUUGCAUGUAUCAUCCGGAUAUUUAGAAAUGAGAACCGGUAAGUAACUGUAAGUGCUGUAGUCUUACUGGUAUCACAAUAUGUACUGUACUUUCAUAAUGAGAAGGAUCUAUCACUAAAACCAUUCAAAUGUGUUUACAAAACUGCAAGAAAACCAGUAUCUGGUAGAAGAAGUUGACUGUUCACUCCAGAGCAGGAGACCCACAUUGUAAAUAUGGUCAUGAGUCUCUCUGCACUGUCUCGUCUACUGAAACACAAUAGAAUUAGGAUGAAGCAGCUGUACAGUGUCCCUUUCGAAAUAAACUGUGUAAAACAACUGAGAUAUGAAUAUGUGCAGGUAAGCUAUACAAUCCUAUCAUUGGUACUGGAUCUGGAAGUGCAUGGUGCUACAUCAUAUUGACUGAUCCCUGUCUAUUCGUACUGUGCUACAUUGUUUUGUCUUGUCUCUUUCAGAGAGUCAUGGAGCUAGAAGCAGAUGCAGUGCAUCAUGAGCUAAUAUAUAUGGAUGAGGCAGGUUUCAACCUUGCAAAAACAAGGGGCCAUCAUCAACGUCCCGGGACAACGUGGUUGCAACAUAACAAUGUGUGCGGCUAUUAGUCAAAACGGCGACCUUCACCAACAUGCAAUUCUAGGCCCAUACAACACUGCACACAUGAUCUCAUUUCUGGACACCCUCCACAACAGACUAAUCCCCGAUGACCAGUGGCCAGAGAAGCCCAUGCAAUGGAGGAGGCUUGUGGAGACAUGGAUCAGGGGUCAUGCCAGGCCUGGAUACGGCACUCCAGGCGAUACUGUCCACGCUGCCUAGCUCAAGACAACAUCGUAUGUGAUGUGGAUGAAGUCUUAUGACCCACAAAGAAGGCGAGAUGUAGCCCCCAAAAAAUCAGUUCUUUUUUUUCCUAGCACAAAUGUUUUUGUUUUCUUCUACUGCGCUUUUGUUGUUUGAGGAGUGUUGGAACACUUUGAGAGACAAAAAUAACAUUUUCCCCUUAUUUGUUUUGAUAGUGUGUUAUGUUUGGAAUACACAUCCAUACUUUACACGUUUGGAUACCUGUGUGUAUGUGUGUUUACUACAUGUAUGACAAAAGCCACAUGUGUUUUUAAUUUAUACUAUCAGUGCGUAGUUGGUGCUUCGUGUGCAUAUUCAAAUAUGCUUUUGCAAGAUAUGUAUAAUGUUUUGCUGGUAUUGUGUAAGGUUUUGUGGUUAGUGUGUGUAGGUUUUUGCAAAAAUAGCCUAUCAUUUCAAAGAUAGUGCCUAGCGCAAUCAGAAAAAAAUGUAAUGUUACUAUUUGAUGCACAUGCUACUUCACAAUAUCAUAUUGGAACUAUACUGUAAAAUUAACAAACCAAAAUAUAUUUUCAGAGGGUGAUGGUGCUGCUGUGAACCAUCACAAGUAUAUCUUCAUUGAUGAAGCGGACUUCAACCUGGCCAAAACUCGUCACCGUGGGCGGAACCUCAUCGGCCAACAGGCGACCUGCCAAGUGCCUGGACAUCUCCAUGUGCACUGCUAUCUCUAUCUCUGCACUCCUCAUUGUGUUUCUCAAUGAAAUUGAGCAGGCCUGUCAAGUUGAAGGGGUCAUCUAUGUCAUUGUGUGGGACAAUGUCACAUUCCACCAUGUAGAGGUGGUUCAGGAAUGGUUUCAGGCUCAUCCCUAAUCGUUGCCCUAUUCCUGCCGCCGUACUGUCCAUUCCUCAACCCUAUUUAGGAAUUUUUGUUCAGCAUGGAGUUGGAAGGUGUACGAUCACCCUCCCAAUGAGCAAGCCACCCUCCUUUUGGCCAUGGAUGAGGAAUGCGACAUCAAUGCAGACCAAUGUCAAGCCUGCAUUUGCCAUGCCAAAAGGUUUUUCCCACUCUGCAGGAACAAUGGAGACAUUCACUGUGAUGUGGAUGAGAAUCUUUGGCCAAAUGCUCAAGACAGGCUUGAUACAAAUUAAUGUGUGCUAAGCUUUGUUUAAUUAGUUUAUUUAAUUUCUAACAUUUGAUUACAGACAGUACACCUAUGUUGCAAUUAUAAUCUAAAAAUAUAUAUAUAUUUUUGGGCAUGAAUGAUUGUAGAGGAUGUCUUCAUUGAUCACACAUGUCACAUAUACUCACUCUCUGGCCUCUAGGUCAUCAGGCUGCUGAUUAUCCCACACAUCUUUCACCAUCGUCUCGCGCACCUGCACCUCAUGACACUCACCUGGACUCCAUCACCUUGAUUAUCUUCCCUAUAUCUGUCACUCCCCUUGGUUCUUUCCUCAGGUGUUAUUGAUGGUGUUUUCAUGUUGGUGUGUUACGUUUAUUUAUUAAAACACUCACUCCCUGA